CAGUCGCCGCGGUAAUACAGAGGGUGCGAGCGUUAAUCGGAUUUACUGGGCGUAAAGCGUGCGUAGGCGGCUUUUUAAGUCGGAUGUGAAAUCCCUGAGCUUAACUUAGGAAUUGCAUUCGAUACUGGGAAGCUAGAGUAUGGGAGAGGAUGGUAGAAUUCCAGGUGUAGCGGUGAAAUGCGUAGAGAUCUGGAGGAAUACCGAUGGCGAAGGCAGCCAUCUGGCCUAAUACUGACGCUGAGGUACGAAAGCAUGGGGAGCAAACAGGAUUAGAUACCCCGUAGUCCCUGUCUCUUAUACA
rnacentral:rRNA from 1 species